rnacentral:rRNA from 1 species
AUUGAACGCUGGCGGCAUGCCUUACACAUGCAAGUCGAACGGCAGCACGGGUGCUUGCACCUGGUGGCGAGUGGCGAACGGGUGAGUAAUACAUCGGAACAUGUCCUGUAGUGGGGGGAAGCCCGCCGAAACCGGGAUUAAAACCCCAACAGAUCUACGGACGAAAGGGGGGGCCUUUGGGGCCUGCGGCUAUGGGGUUGGCCGUUGCGUGUUAGGCUAGUUGGGGGGGUAAAGGCCUACCAAGGGGACGAGCAGUAGCGGAUCUCAGAGGAGGACAAGCCACACUGGGACUGAGACACGGCCCAGACUCCUACGGGAGGCAGCAGUGGGGAAUGUUGGACAAUGGGCGAAAGCCUGAUCCAGCAAUGCCGCGUGUGUGAAGAAGGCCUUCGGGUUGUAAAGCACUUUUGUCCGGAAAGAAAUCCUUGGCCCUAAUACGGUCGGGGGAUGACGGUACCGGAAGAAUAAGCACCGGCUAACUACGUG